rnacentral:rRNA from 1 species
GAUGAACGCUGGCGGCGUGCCUAAUACAUGCAAGUCGAGCGAACGGACGAGAAGCUUGCUCCUCUGAUGUUAGCGGCGGACGGGUGAGUAACACGUGGAUAACCUACCUAUAAGACUGGGAUAACUUCGGGAAACCGGAGCUAAUACUGGAUAAUAUUUUGAACCGCAUGGUUCAAAAGUGAAAGACGGUCUUGCUGUCACAUAUAGAUGGAUCCGCGCUGCAUUAGCUAGUUGGUAAGGUAACGGCUUACCAAGGCAACGAUGCAUAGCCGACCUGAGAGGGUGAUCGGCCACACUGGAACUGAGACACGGUCCAGACUCCUACGGGAGGCAGCAGUAGGGAAUCUUCCGCAAUGGGCGAAAGCCUGACGGAGCAACACCGCGUGAGUGAUGAAGGUCUUCGGAUCGUAAAACUCUGUUAUUAGGGAAGAACAUAUGUGUAAGUAACUGUGCACAUCUUGACGGUACCUAAUCAGAAAGCCACGGCUAACUACGUG